UCGUAUGGCAAACAUUAUCCUCAAUGACGUACUUCCAAAGUUCGUGUAUAAUAACGUUGAAGAGGCAGGUGUACUCAUGUCUAGUUAUUGAGUUUCAAUGCUUUUUACUUUCUUCUUUUUUAUCGUGAUACUUCCAAAGUUCGUGAAUAAUAACGUUGAAGAGGCAGGUGUACUCAUGUCUAGUUAUUGAGUUUCGUAGUUUUUUCUUCUUUACUUUUCUGUUGAGAUGUGAGUCUAUCGGAAAUAUCCUCUCUACCUUCACCAAUAUAGGGAUAUGGUCUGCGCAUAAUAUGUCUCACCCCGACCCUACUUUAUGGGAUUACACUGAGUCUUGUAUCUUUCUUCUUGUUGUCGUCGUUGUCGUCGUCGCCUUUGGUUGUAUUGAUUAUGGUGAGAUGUAUCUUUUCUUUUUCACCAAUUGGUGGAAAAGAAAUUAAAUAAAUGAAUGAUUGUUGUGUUGGAUAUAUACUAUUAAUCAUGAGUUUGGUUUAGAUAUAAUUUUAUUAUGAAACAAC
rnacentral:lncRNA from 1 species